rnacentral:rRNA from 1 species
UACGUAGGUGGCAAGCGUUGUCCGGAAUUAUUGGGCGUAAAGAGCAUGUAGGUGGGCUUUUAAGUCCGAUGUGAAAUGCGGGGCUCAACCCCGUAUGGCAUUGGAUACUGGAAGUCUUGAGUGCAGGAGAGGAAAGGGGAAUUCCCAGUGUAGCGGUGAAAUGCGUAGAUAUUGGGAGGAACACCAGUGGCGAAGGCGCCUUUCUGGACUGUGUCUGACACUGAGAUGCGAAAGCUAGGGUAGCAAACGGG